AAAACAAUAGUUUAACAAACACUAUGCUUACUCCAUAAUAAUGAAAGUUAAAAUCUUUCUUGUUUAU
rnacentral:tRNA from 1 species